CAAAAGUUGCAGGAGACCCAGGGGAGGGAGUUGCUGAGGACGGGGCCCCAAGAGGGACAACCUGGCAACCUCUGUGCCUUCUCACCCUCUUUCCUGGCAUCUCAGGAGCACCUGGAAGCUACCAGCCAGCAGAACCAGCAACUACAGGCCCAGUUGAGCCUCAUGGCUCUCCCUGGGGAAGGAGAUGGAGGAGGAGGCGCCUCAGCCCAUGCCGAACAUCCCAGGGGACCUGGAGAGCCGGG
rnacentral:lncRNA from 1 species